GAGUUUGAUCGUGGCUCAGAACGAACGCUGGCGGCAGGCCUAACACAUGCAAGUCGAGCGCCCAGCAAUGGGAGCGGCGGACGGGUGAGUAACGCGUGGGAAUUUUUCCUGGAGUACGGAACAACCGAGGGAAACUUCGGCUAAUACCGUAUGAUAUCGAGAGAUCAAAGAUUUAUCGCUCUGGGGGUGAGCCCGCGUCAGAUUAGGUAGUUGGUGGGGUAACGCCUACCAAGCCUGCGAUCUGUAGCUGGUCUGAGAGGACGAUCAGCCACACUGGGACUGAGACACGGCCCAGACUCCUACGGGAGGCAGCAGUGGGGAAUCUUGCGCAAUGGGCGAAAGCCUGACGCAGCCAUGCCGCGUGAGUGAAGAAGGUCUUAGGAUUGUAAAGCUCUUUCGCUCGUGACGAUGAUGACGGUAACGAGAGAAGAAGCCCCGG
rnacentral:rRNA from 1 species